ACAGUGGUGGCUCAGUGGUAGAACUCUUGCUUUCCAUGCAGAAGACCUGGGUUUGAAUCCUGGCCAGUGCA
rnacentral:tRNA from 1 species